ACCUGCUCUUUUAUGAAAAGUGCUGUGAGAUAACUGUUGUUGUGAUUUGGCGCUAUAUAAAUAAAACUUGAAUUGAAUGUUUCAGCCUUCUCUUCAUGCAGAGCAAGGGCCAGAGCAAGUAGACCUAGGUCUACCAUACUUUCUGUUGACUUAUAAAUUCAGUAAAAUAUAGCCUACUUGCAGCACAUCACCUCCAAGCAUAUUAUGUAUCAUAGCAACCAAAGCGUCUCAGCUGAAAAAAAUGCUGCGCCUCCAAAGCGCACCCUAGUGCUCCCAGCCAGGCGUUUUCAGAAGAGCAGGUGGCAUUUUCAGCUGGUAAAAAACACUUGGGUGGACAGGGGCCCUAACAUCGCUUGGCAGCUUGACAGAGCAGCGAUGAAUCGCAGCCUCCCUCAGCAUCCUAGUGCCCAACCCCAUUUGGGAUUUAAAUUGUGAAGCAGAGAAAACAAGCAGAAUGACUAUUUUAAGCCAAUACCCAUGACCCGUGAGAGGAUAAUGAAAAAUGGGAGUCUCCGGAGAAAAUUGAGAGGGUUACCAAGUAUAAGCUAACCGGAGCUAGCCUCCAUGACUCCUUGUUUACUUUGUACGAUAGCGUGCUGCUGCGUAAUGUCGUGUUCUUCUGCGCAUGAAGGUCAUUUUCAGGCCGUGGACAGUUCACACUGAAGUCUGAUAUGGGCCACAUUUAAACGAUAAUGGCAAACAAAAUAAUCGGAUUUGAGCAUUAAUUGGUAUGUGUAUGCAUGACUUUAGUUUGUUUUCCUCUUUUUGUGCAAUUGCGGGAUGCUUGCUGUGUUUUAGUUUUUUGUGUUGUCUGUCUGUGUUCUCCCUCCCUUUCCCUGCACAGUCAGCGAGAGGAGGCGUGUCCUCGGAUCUGGUUUACUCACUCACCUGCUCCCCAUCCCUGAACACUCACCUGCUCUUCAUCAAGCAAUCUCCUCAGCCUUCUUAUACUGCCUCCAGCAAUCCAGUCGCCGCUGGAUUGUUGUGUCAUUUGUUCCUCUACACCAGCCAUCGGUUCUGUGAACCCUGGACCCAACCCUUGCCACUCUGCCUGCCCGUCAGCACCCACCUCUCGGACCUCAGCUCAAGUUCCCUGCCUGCCUGCCACCCUCUCUAACCCUGCUUACCAUCCACCCAUUGUUCCCUGUAAUAAACAUCCUGAACUGCU